AGAAUCAACGCUGGCGGCGUGCCUAACACAUGCAAGUCGAACGAGAAAGUGGAGCAAUCCAUGAGUAAAGUGGCGACCGGGUGAGUAACACGUGACUAACCUACCUUCGAGUGGGGGAUAACCUCGGGAAACCGGGGCUAAUACCGCAUAACAUCCUUAGAGUGGAAACUCCGGGGAUCAAAGGAGCAAUUCGCUUGAAGAGGGGGUCGCGGCUGAUUAGCUAGUUGGCGGGGUAAUGGCCCACCAAGGCUUUGAUCGGUAGCCGGCCUGAGAGGGCGCACGGCCACACUGGAACUGAAACACGGUCCAGACUCCUACGGGAGGCAGCAGUGGGGAAUUUUGCGCAAUGGGGGAAACCCUGACGCAGCAACGCCGCGUGGAGGAUGAAGUCCCUUGGGACGUAAACUCCUUUCGACCGGGAAGAUUAUGACGGUACGGUGGAAGAAGCCCGGCUAACUUCGUGCCAGCAGCCGC
rnacentral:rRNA from 1 species